CCUACGGGAGGCAGCAGUGAGGAAUAUUGGUCAAUGGGCGUAAGCCUGAACCAGCCAAGUCGCGUGAGGGAUGAAGGUUCUAUGGAUCGUAAACCUCUUUUAUAAGGGAAUAAAGUGCGGGUCGUGUCCCGUUUUGUAUGUACCUUAUGAGUAAGGAUCGGCUAACUCCGUGCCAGCAGCCGCGGUAAUACGGAGGAUCCGAGCGUUAUCCGGAUUUAUUGGGUUUAAGGGGUGCGUAGGCGGCCUUUUAAGUCAGCGGUGAAAGCCUGUGGCUCAACCAUAGAAUUGCCGUUGAAACUGGGAGUCUUGAGUAUGUUUGAGGCAGGCGGAAUGCGUGGUGUAGCGGUGAAAUGCUUAGAUAUCACGAAGAACCCCGAUGGCGAAGGCAGCCUGCCAAGCCAUGACUGACGCUGAUGCACGAAAGCGUGGGGAUCAAACAGGAUUAGAUACCCCGGUAGUC
rnacentral:rRNA from 1 species